GCCGGGCGUUUUGGCGAGCGCCUGUAGUCCCAGCUACUUGGGAGGCUGAGGCAAGAGAAUCACUUGAGCCCAAGAGUUUGAGGUUGCUGUGAGCUGUGACAGCACAGCACUCUACUAAGGGCGACAUAGUGAGACUUUGUCUCCAAAAAAAAAAAGUGUAGGGUAGCAGGGAUGCAGUGGUGGAGAGGACUUCCACUUUCUUUUUUUUUUCUUUUUUUGUAGAGAUAGAGUAGAGUGCUGUGGUGUUGCACAGCUCACAGCAACCUCCAAAUCCUGGGCUUAGGCGAUUCUCUUGCCUUAG
rnacentral:SRP_RNA from 1 species